GUUCUAGCUACUUGGGAGGAUGGCCUGAACCCAGGGGUUCUAGACCAGCUUAGACAACAUAGCAAGACCACAUCUCAAAAAACAAAAAACAAAACGAAUGAAUGAAUGCAUGGAAGGACUCAUCUCUAAAAUAAAUGUGGUCAGGUUGGGUGUGGUGGCUCAUGCCUGUAAUACCAGCACUUUGGGAGGCAGGGAUGGGCAGAUCACUUGAGGUCAGGAGUUCGAGACCAGCCUGGCCAACAUGGUGAAGCCCCAUCUCUACUAAAAAUACAGAAAUUAGCUGGGUGUGGUUGUGUGCACCUGGAAUUCCAGCUACGCAGGAGGCUGAAGCAGGAGAAUCGCUUGAACCUGGGAGGUGGAGGUUGCAUUAAG
rnacentral:lncRNA from 1 species